ensembl:rRNA 5S_rRNA 5S ribosomal RNA
GUCUACGGCCAUACCACCCUGAACACACCCAAUCUCAUCUGAUCUCGGAAGCUAAGCAGGGUCGGGCUUGGUUAGUACUUAGUACUUGGAUGGGAGAAUAGUAAUGUUAUCAUUGAUC